CCUGCCCAGUGGCUCAAGCUAAACGGCCGCGGUAUCUUGACCGUGCAAAGGUAGCAUAAUCAUUUGUCUUUUAAAUGGAGACUUGUAUGAAUGGCGGAACCUUCUUCAACUGUCUCCCUUUCCACUCCCCCAAAUUUCUAUUUCCGUGAAGAAGCAGAAAUAAAAGAGAAAGACGAGAAGACCCUGUCGAGCUUCAGCUUAAAGGUGAAAAACUAAACAUCACCCAAAAGCUUUGGUUGGGGCAACCAUGGAGAAAACACAUCCUCCAGAAAAAAUAGAAGAAAACCCUUCACUAUUUUUAACCUCAAAGAACCAGGAACUGGCAAUCGGAAAAAGUUACCGCAGGGAUAACAGCGUAAUCUCCUCUAAGAGUCCUUAUUGACAAGGAGGUUUGCGACCUCGAUGUUGGAUUGGGGCCCCCUUUGGGUGCAGAAGCUCUAAAGGGUUAGACUGUUCGUCUAUUAAAGCCCUACAUGAUC
rnacentral:rRNA from 1 species